CCUACGGGAGGCAGCAGUAAGGAAUCUUCCACAAUGGACGAAAGUCUGAUGGAGCAACGCCGCGUGCAGGAUGAAGGCUUUCGGGUCGUAAACUGCUUUUAUAUGGGAAGAUUAUGACGGUACCAUAUGAAUAAGGACCGGCUAACUACGUGCCAGCAGCCGCGGUAAUACGUAGGGUCCAAGCGAUAUCCGGAAUUACUGGGCGUAAAGCGUGUGUAGGUGGAUUAAUAAGUGUGAUGCGAAAUCCGGCGGCUCAACCGUUUGGACUGUGUCGCAUACUGUUAGUCUAGAGGACGGCAGAGGUAAGUGGAAUUACGGGUGUAGCAGUGAAAUGCGUAGAUAUCCGUAGGAACACCAAUGGCGAAGGCAGCUUACUGGGCCACACCUGACACUGAGACACGAAAGCGUGGGGAGCGAACAGGAUUAGAUACCCUGGUAGUCCACGCCGUAAACGAUGCAUACUAUUAGUAUGGGGUAUGACCCCCGUGUGCUGAGAAGCUAACGCGAUAAGUAUGCCGCCGNGGAGUACGAGCGCGAGACUUAAACGUUAAACGUAGAGUAGACGCGUGAGAGUGCCGACGGACGACGACGAGGGAGAGG
rnacentral:rRNA from 1 species